rnacentral:rRNA from 1 species
AAUAGAUACCCGGGUAGUCCACGCCGUAAACGAUGUCGACUUGGAGGUUGUUCCCUUGAGGAGUGGCUUCCGGAGCUAACGCGUUAAGUCGACCGCCUGGGGAGUACGGCCGCAAGGUUAAAACUCAAAUGAAUUGACGGGGGCCCGCACAAGCGGCGGAGCAUGUGGUUUAAUUCGAUGCAACGCGAAGAACCUUACCUACUCUUGACAUCCAGAGAACUUAGCAGAGAUGCUUUGGUGCCUUCGGGAACUCUGAGACAGGUGCUGCAUGGCUGUCGUCAGCUCGUGUUGUGAAAUGUUGGGUUAAGUCCCGCAACGAGCGCAACCCUUAUCCUUUGUUGCCAGCGGUUCGGCCGGGAACUCAAAGGAGACUGCCAGUGAUAAACUGGAGGAAGGUGGGGAUGACGUCAAGUCAUCAUGGCCCUUACGAGUAGGGCUACACACGUGCUACAAUGGCGUAUACAAAGAGAAGCGACCUCGCGAGAGCAAGCGGACCUCAUAAAGUACGUCGUAGUCCGGAUUGGAGU